AUCUACAAUUUUUGCACAAACAUACAUAUCAUAUGUAUAUAUAUACAUAAGUACAUGACAAUAUAUGUAUAUAAACAUCUUGCUGCUCAUCCAUACAACUUCACUUCCAAUGGCGAAAUCACCUGCUCUGUUCCACGCUUCCCAUUUCUUCAUCCGCUCUACACUCAUGCCUUCUUCCAAAUCACUCUCUCUCUUCCUUCCACUCUCAAAUCUCAACCAUCUUCACAGGUUUGCCUUUCGUAAUUCACUCUCUCCCCUAUCCCUCCGCACAUUCUCCACCACCACUCUAUUCCCUCUCCAAUACGAAUUGAUUAUCAACCGACCGUCUUAUCCUUCUCCGCCCCAUCAGAAUCCACGAACACCCGCCAGAGUCAGCUCCGACAACUCUCCCGAGCUCAACUCCUCCGAGGACCCCACUUCCGAAUUGGGGUUCGACAGCUGGGUCGAUCGGAAGCUUAUAUCCGAGGGUGGGACUGUUUCUGGUAAGGAAGGUGUAGUCAUGGAUAAGGCUAUGAGAAAAUACUAUAAUAAAAGAAGGAAGAGGAUGUAUGGGUCGGAUUCUGAUGAAGAUAAUAGGACGCAGGCUGAGGGAUUUGUGGAAUUAAAGCCUGAGGUGGUUGAAUUUAACACAUUGCAUAAGAGAGAGGAGGAGUUGUUCUUUCAUGACGCUUUUGCGUAUCCAUGGGAGAAAGAUAAGCAUUACAAAAUGUUGUAUCAAUUGGAGAAGAAGUAUUUUCCUGAUGACGGUCUUGACAAAGCUUUUCUGGGACCUGGAGAGUCAAAUGUGGAAGUGAAUGAACAGACAAAGGGAAGGCAGGGGGUGAGAAAGGCAGGGAGGGUAAAGCCUGAGAUGAAUGUGGAGGUCGCCAAUGGUAUGGAUGACAAACGGAUGGUUUUCUUUGAUGAGGGGAAACCAGAAAAGGAGAAUAAAGGGUCUGUAGUAGAUGUAUCAGAGAAGAAGGUGGAGGAGUUCUUCAAGUGUUUGAAGAAAGGUCCUGCUAAAGAUUCUAACAUUGGUCAGGGGGAGCCAUAUCUUUUGACGAGGCAUAUGGAGCUCCCGGCUAAAUGGGAUAGUCCUUGUGGGACAGUCGUUUUGCUGAACAAACCUAAAGGGUGGACUUCAUUUACGGUAUGUGGAAAACUUCGGCGCCUAGUCAAAGUGAAAAAGGUAGGUCAUGCAGGUACUCUUGAUCCUAUGGCUACUGGUUUGUUGAUAGUGUGUGUUGGUAAGGCAACGAAGUUGGUUGACAGAUAUCAAGGCAUGAUUAAGAGCUACAGUGGAGUUUUCCGUUUAGGAGAGGCUACUUCAACUUGGGAUGCUGAUUCACCCAGGAAUCAUUAUUCUAGUCUUAAGGGAGAAGAUUUAUGGUUCCAUAUUUUAACCAAUCAAAUAUUUGCCUCUUGCAAGCCCGGUCACAAUAGGCAUGGUAAUUCAGCGAGAGCCUUGGGAGCACAUCAAAGAUGAUGACAUACAAAAAGCUGCUGCCUCUUUUUGUGGGGAAAUUUGGCAAGUUCCUCCCAUGUUUUCUGCCAUUAAAGUUGGAGGUGAAAGGAUGUAUGAGAAAGCAAGAAGGGGAGAAAGUAUUGAGCUUUCCCCUAGACAGAUAUCAAUUUUCAAAUUUGAUAUUGAGCGUAGUUUAGAUGACAGGCAAAAUUUGAUUUUUCGAGUUACAUGUUCUAAAGGAACAUACAUUCGGUCACUUUGUGCAGAUCUUGGGAAGACUCUUGGCAGUUGUGCUCAUCUAACUGCUCUUCGAAGGGAUUCAAUAGGGCAAUAUCUAGCAGAUGAUGCCUGGGAAUUCAAAGAGUUGGAAGAUGCUAUUACCAAAGGUUAUUUUUAGCUUUAACGAUCUCAACAUUUUUAGCUGGGGAUCGGUAUUAAGCACCCACUGACGUUUCUCGUGAGUUGUGUGAAUCUUGCACCAUCUUCUGAUAAAGAAGCAUUUUCAGAAUGCCAUGGAGAAGAGAAGAGGAUGAACAGUCUGUUUAGGGGGAAGGAGUUGUUGGACAGAAAAUGAUUAGAUAACAUGAUUAAUUAUCUAUUUACAGAUUAGUUAACCUCUUUGUCACACAAUAACGUUUUGGUAAGGAUUUUUUUGUUUUAAUUUUUUUAAGUUUUGAUAAUGUCUCUUAUCAAAAAAAAAGUUUUGAUAAUGUCAUGUAUACGUUGUUCAAUUAAAAGGUGAUUUGUUAUUAGGAACUAUAGACGACUUUUAAGAAAUAAUGAAAUAACAUCACCAUUCUUUCGUAGAAGUGGGCUUACUUUAA